UACAGAGGUCUCAAGCGUUGUUCGGAUUCAUUGGGCGUAAAGGGUGCGUAGGUGGCGUUGUAAGUCGGGUGUGAAAUUUCGGAGCUUAACUGCGAAACUGCAUUCGAUACUGCGGUGCUUGAGGACUGGAGAGGAGACUGGAAUUCAUGGUGUAGCAGUGAAAUGCGUAGAGAUCAUGAGGAAGACCAGUGGCGAAGGCGGGUCUCUGGACAGUUCCUGACACUGAGGCACGAAGGCCAGGGGAGCAAACGGG
rnacentral:rRNA from 1 species